rnacentral:rRNA from 1 species
AUAAGUGACUAAGCAAUCGAAUGCUGAGCCUAGGCUUCGGCCAAAGCGCAUCACCGGACAAGGCGCCGAGAAAAGUUUGCAGUUGUUCCCCGGGUCGCCCGUACCGUAAACCGACACAGGUGGGUGGGUGUAAAUGCACUCAGGCGCGCGAGAGAAACUUCUCUAAGGAACUAGGCACAUUCGCCCCGUAACUUCGGAAGAAGGGGUGCUCAAGACCGCGACAGCAAUGUGGCGGUGGCGAGUCUCAGUAAAUUGCGUUUAGCGACUGUUUAACAAAAACACAGCACUCUGCCAAGUCGUGAAGACGACGUAUAGGGUGUGACACGUGACCAAUGCGGAAAGAUUAAGAGAUCUUGUCAGCCGCAAGGCGAAGCUCGGUCUUUAAGUCCCCGUGAAUGUCGGCCGUAACUAUAACGGUCCUAAGGUAGCGAAAUUCCUUGUCGGGUAAGUUCCGACCUGCACGAAUCGAGUAACGACUAAACGACUGUCUCGGAGAGGAUCUCGGCGAAACUGUAACGGCGGUGAAGAUGCCGCCUGCCCGCAGUAGGACGGGAAGACCCUAUGCACCUUUACUGUAGCUCGUAUUGGGUUCUGGUUUGUGAUGCGUAGCGUAGGUGGGAGACUUUGAAGUGAGGGCCUCGGUCUUCAUGGAGUCGCAAUGUGAAACACCACUCUUCGCCAAUUAGGAUUCUAACCCCGGGCUGUGAAGCCAGCCGGGGGACAGUGCGUGCGGGUCAGUUUGACUGGGGCGGUUUCCUCCCAAAAAGUAACGGAGGAGCGCGAAGCUCAGCUCAGCACGGUUGGCAACCGUGCGGUGAGGGUAUGGCUAGAAGCUGGGUCAACUGUGAGACCCACAAGUCGAGCAGGUGCGAAAGCAGGCCCAAAUGAUCCGGCGGUUUAAUGUGGAAUUGCCGUCGCUCAUCGGACAAAAGGUACGCUAGGGAUAACAGGCUGAUCGCUUCCAAGAGUUCAUAUCGACGAAGCGGUUUGGCACCUCGAUGUCGGCUCAUCGCAUCCUGGGGCUGAAGAAGGUCCCAAGGGUCCGGCUGUUCGCCGGUUAAAGCGGUACGCGAGCUGGGUUCAGAACGUCGUGAGACAGUUCGGUCCUUAUCCACUGUGGGCGCAGGAGACUUGAGGGGUUCUUUUCCUAGUACGAGAGGACCGGAAAAGACGCACUUCUGGUGUGGCAGUUGUCCCGUCCGGGGCAUCGCUGCGUAGCCAUGUGCGGAAGAGAUAAGCGCUGAAAGCGUCUAAGUGCCAAGCUCCUCCCAAGAUAAGGUCUCCCGGACCGCAAGGUCCCUAAAGACCCCCGGAAGACUACCGGGUUGAUAGGCCAGAGGUGUAAGCGGGGCGACCCGUUUAGCUGACUGGUACUAAUCGGUCGUGCGGCUUGAUCGC